UACGGAGGGGGCUAGCGUUGUCCGAAGUUACUGGGCGUAAAGCGCGCGUAGGCGGGUUGGUAAGUCCGCUGUGAAAGCCCGGAGCUCAACUCCGGAGGGUCGGUGGAUACUGCCAGUCUUGAAGGUGCUAGGGGGAGAUGGAAUUACCGGUGUAGCGGUGAAAUGCGUAGAUAUCGGUGAGGAACACCAGUGGCGAAGGCGGUCUCCUGGGGCAUUCUUGACGCUGAGGCGCGAAAGCUGGGGGAGCAAACGGG
rnacentral:rRNA from 1 species